rnacentral:lncRNA from 1 species
UCACUGCAGACACCCCUUCCCCUUUCGCCUCUCUUCCUUACAUACCCUCCUUAUCCGAAAAAAAGUUCAAAUGUUUAGCCAACCAGGGUUAAUUUAGAUUGUACUGCCUGACCAUGGCCAAUGGGGAAAGGGUACAGGGGCAGGACUUGCUUCAGGAAUAAAGGCUCUUGUUCAAGUGUGCUCUCAUGGUGACUGGCCAAGGAGAAGCACCCCUCUGUGCAGAAGUAAAAUUGCUUUGCUAAGAAUCCUUGUUUGAGUGUUCAAUUUCCUUAGGAUUUUGAGCAUUAUUCCCAACAUCCAAGAUGCAAGACAAAGUCCUCCUCAUUCUUCCCUCUCCUCUCCUCAAGUGGAGGGAAGAGGCCUCUUUCGGCAGCACUGAGUUCAAUGCUUCACAACUGCUGUGAUCUCCCUUUCCCCAGUGCACAGAAAUGCUCUCCACACCAUGCUGCCACUGCCAGGGGUUAGGAGAGGGGUGGUGUUGGCUAUUCAAGACUUUUUUUCUACCUCUUCGGUGCCUCUUUCAGUGAUAUGAAGUAAAACCAGGUAUUGUAACUGCUCAUUUGAUUUUUAGUUCUUAUGAAGGCUCUUUUAUUUGUGUGUACACAGUUGUUAAAUUAGUGUCCUUCCUGGGGGAGAUGAUUGCUGGAGGCUUCUAUUCCAUCAUCUUGCUCUGUUGUUUUUAUGUUUUCUCAUUUAUCUCUUUUAACUGAGGUAUUUAUUUGCCUUUAAAGUAAUUACUGACAUGGAAGGACUUACUAUUUUCGUUUUGUUACUUGUCUAUAUAUAUGGAUAAUACAUUCAAUAUAUUUUAAUAUGUCUUGUCCAGUGGUUUUUGCUCCUUUUCUCCUUUGCUGCCUUCUUGUAUGUUUUGU